GGGGAGGCGGCGCGGCGGCUCGCGGUGCUCGCUGUCGGCGAUGCCCAUGGCACUGCGGCGUUCCUGCCUCGCGCCGUCCUCGUCUCCCUGGGGCUCUCCUGUGCUUUGCGUAGGUCCUACCAAAACAGGCAAAGGGGCGGGUGGGAUGGGAGAAGAUGCUCUGCACUAGCGGUGUCCGUGGCCGUCUCCGUGCCGGAUGCUGGGAAGCGAAAYGGGCUCCUGGCCUGCUCCCUGGCUCUGCCGGGCGUUACGGGGCUCCAGGCCCUCCAAAGCCRAACGGGAAGAAACACGGYGCCGCGGCGUGAAAACACGGCAAGYGGCUCUGGGGCUGAUUUAAAGGGCAGCGUGGCUUUGCUGAGUGCUGCUGGCCGGCGCGGCGGGAGUGAGGCAUUGCUCCGGCUCAGUAGGCUUGUCCUCCCCCUCCGCCAGCUGUGCAAUAGAUCAUGAACAUAUGCAAAAAAACACGCUGCAUCAAAGCCACUUGGCAGCUUAACUAACCCAAUUCAUAAAUUAAUUUCUAUUCCUCUUGUAAGGGAGAAAUCAGUCACUCCUCGAGGCGAUCCAUCUCUAUCGCUCGUCUGGCCACAUCCUUUCAUAAAUCACCCCCUCCAAGUCCGAGCUGGUGAUUGCUGGGUCAAGAUGCAAUUGCGCUUAGCGCCCACGCCGAGCCCCGCGGACGCGGGGGUGCGGGACGGGCAGUGCCCAGGCGCCGGUGCCCCCGGGGAGGGUGGUUUUCUCCGCGUURCCCUGCCGUGGACGGCGAGGCCGCGGCAAAGCCGGCGCUCAGCUCUGCUGCAAGUGGGCAGUGACGCCGGCCCUGCGGCCCCAUGCGAAACGUGGGCAGGCAGCAGGUGAUGGGUUUUGGGGGGACGGCAGGGCCCGGUGGUGCAUGGCCUGGGGACGCGUGGGGACGGCUGCUGGUCCUYGCCAGAGCUUUCGAGGGAGCGGUGGCUUUGCAAAAUGCUGCUUUGCAAAACGGGGCUUUGCAAAACGGGACURUGCACGUCCUGCUCCAGCCUGGAUGCUGGCUGGUGCCCGCGGUCACCGCUGCUUGGCUUGGCCAUCCUCGCGGGCUGGCGGUCCCGAACAGACACGGCUCUUCGGUUACAGCCCUYGCCCUGCUCCCCCUUUCCGGAAAAACUCGCCACCUUUUCAGGCUGCCAUCUGUUUAUUUUGUUGGCCUCCGAACUUGCUGAAAUGUCUCGUGGUGGCUGAGGCGACGCAGAGUGGAAGAACAGAGCCUGGCAGGCUGCAGGAGCAUCCGACGCGUCGCCGCGGCCYGGGCCGGCCCCGGAGAGCCCCGUGCUGCCCGGGAGCCUCCGUGCUGCUCGCUUUGGAGGGAAGCGGCUUUGUCUUUCCACGGGGAGGGCUGGAUUUUUUCCUGCUUCGGGACACGAAUCUCCCCCCAGAUUCCUGAGCACUCUGCUGCCUGGUCCGUCCUUGGCUGGGUGCAUUUUUUUCCUGUUUAAUAUGAUUUUAUA
rnacentral:lncRNA from 1 species